rnacentral:rRNA from 1 species
UCUACUGGCGCUGCCUAAUACAUGCAGUCGAACGAAGUUUUUUUAAGCUUAGUGGCGAACGGGUGAGUAAUGUAUGUUUAAUCUGCCCCAAUGAUUGGGAUAACUAUUGGAGACGAUAGCUAAUACCGAAUAGAAUAUAGAAAGGCAUCCUUUUAUGUUUAAAGGCGCGUUUGCGUCACUUUGGGAUGAGAACAUAUCGCAUUAGCUUGUUGGUAAGGUAAAAGCUUACCAAGGCUAUGAUGCGUAGCCGGACUGAGAGGUUGACCGGCCACAAUGGGACUGAGACACGGCCCAUACUCCUACGGGAGGCAGCAGUAGGGAAUUUUUCACAAUGGACGAAAGUCUGAUGGAGCAAUGCCGCGUGAAGGAUGAAGGUCUUCGGAUUGUAAACUUCUGUUAUAAGAGAAGAAAUACUAAAAGAGGAAAUGCUUUUAAUUUGACGUUAUCUUAUUAGAAAGUCACGGCAAACUAUGUGCCAGCAGCCGCGGUAAUACAUAGGUGGCAAGCGUUAUCCGGAUUUAUUGGGCGUAAAGAGUGCACAGGCGGUUUAUUAAGUCAGUUGUAAAAGACCGAGGCUCAACCUCGGUAGGCAGUUGAAACUAAUAGACUAGAAUACAGGUGGGGGUAGUGGAAUUUCAUGUGUAGCGGUGGAAUGCAUAAAUAUAUGAAGGAACACCAGUGGCGAAGGCGGCUACCUGAACUGAUAUUGACGCUUAGCACGAAAGCGUGGGGAGCAAAUAGGAUUAGAUACCCUAGUAGUCCACGCCGUAAACGAUCUAGACUAGUUGUUGCUUUGAAGCAGUGACGCAGCUAACGCAUUAAGUCUAGCGCCUGGGUAGUAUGCACGCAAGUGUGAAACUCAAUGAAUUGACGG